AGCACUUCAGGCCAAGUUACCAACUCGAGUUGGACUUCUACUGCGGCGGUGCUGUGCCCCGGCCGAAUGUCAUUAGCAUGAGGUGCACACGUUCCCAUCUGGCUGCAGAGGUACAUGUCUGGGCAUGAAGUCGUCAAAAUCAUUUGUCACAGUUUUGCCAGCUUUUAAGUGGCUGUUUGGCUGGAUGACUGGAUGGCUGACUGGCUGGCCUCCAGGGCCACAGCCGCGCCAGAGGCUUUGUCCCAAUCUUCGACGGGUUCAACUCCAUUUUUCAAACUUUUGUCUCGCCAACUUUAAGAUCUCUUGUAAUUUUUGUGGCAACACUGGAGUAUACAAUGGGUUCUUAGGGGAAUGAGAAAAUUCCGAGUUAACUGAGUUCUUUUUCCCACAAAUUUGUUAAUUCUUUUGUUCUUAACUUGGACUCUUAUAAAAUAUAAGCUAGAUUAAUUAAUUUCAAACUAAUUUGGUUAGUUUUGAAGUUUUCUUUCAACAAUUAUUUAGUUUCAUAUUCAAAUAUUCACAAUAAUUAUUCCCAAAUGUUAGCAAUUAAAAUCAAAACUAAUUAUAAUUCAUAGCCAAAUAA